UUAGAGUUUGAUCCUGGCUCAGGAUGAACGCUAGCGACAGGCUUAACACAUGCAAGUCGAGGGGCAGCGAGGGGUAGCAAUACUCUGUCGGCGACCGGCGCACGGGUGCGUAACACGUAUGCAACCUACCCAUAAGCGGGGAAUAACCCGGAGAAAUCCGGACUAAUACCACAUAGUACGUUCGAGUGGCAUCACUUGAAUUUUAAAGAUUUAUCACUUAUGGAUGGGCAUGCGCAUGAUUAGAUAGUAGGCGGGGUAACGGCCCACCUAGUCAACGAUCAUUAGGGGUUCUGAGAGGAAGGUCCCCCACAUUGGUACUGAGACACGGACCAAACUCCUACGGGAGGCAGCAGUGAGGAAUAUUGGUCAAUGGGCGAGAGCCUGAACCAGCCAAGUCGCGUGAAGGAAGAAGGGUCUAUGGUUCGUAAACUUCUUUUUUAGGGGAAUAAAGUGUGGGACGUGUCCCAUUUUGUAUGUACCCUACGAAUAAGGAUCGGCUAACUCCGUGCCAGCAGCCGCGGUAAUACGGAGGAUCCAAGCGUUAUCCGGAUUUAUUGGGUUUAAAGGGUGCGUAGGCGGGACGACAAGUCAGUGGUGAAAGUUUGCAGCUCAACUGUAAAAUUGCCGUUGAAACUGUCGUUCUUGAGUGUAAAUGAGGUAGGCGGAAUGUGUUAUGUAGCGGUGAAAUGCUUAGAUAUGACACAGAACACCAAUUGCGAGGGCAGCUUACUAAGAUACAACUGACGCUGAGGCACGAAAGCGUGGGGAUCGAACAGGAUUAGAUACCCUGGUAGUCCACGCAGUAAAC
rnacentral:rRNA from 1 species